rnacentral:lncRNA from 1 species
UAGGGGCUGCACUGAGCAGCACCGGUGUUCUUCAUCCGGCUGCACCCCCAACAGAGCUCUUUCUUCCCCAGAUCCCUUUUACAGUUGGAUUCUCCCUCUUGGAUCUGGCUCUGCCUUAGUCCGACCUAGAGGGAUCAGCUUCGCCCACGCCCACUCUCACCCGGAACCUUUCAUCUCUUAUUGAAGCCUUUUAGGCCCAUUGGGAUGUUCAUUAGAACUCUGAAAACUACAGUUCUCCCCUUUAUGAGGACUGCACCACAGCUCGCCCUCUCCUGGGUUCCGGGUCUCAGUUUGUUGUCCAGGCCAGAGUGCAGUGGCGCAAUCUCGGCUCACUGCAGCCUCAACAUCCUAGGCUCAAGCCAUCCUCCCACCUCACCCUCCCGAGUAGCUGGAAGUACAGGCUCGUCUUGAACUCUGGGCUGAAGUCAUCCACCUGCCUCGGCCUCCCAAAGUGCUAGGAUUACAGGCCUUAGCCACCUCACCUAGUCCUCUGAAAUUUCUAAAUAAGCCAGUGCUGAAGGAUCUAGCCCAACUUCUACCAAACUUUGUUACCUUUUCCCCUUCAGUGGUAGGAAUAGACAUGAUUUAUUUAGCAAGGCCUGGUUGCAGAGUGAGCCCAUGGGACAGCCCUCUGAAAUUAUACUGCUUACAACCAUGCUGAGUCUGCAAGGACUUCGUCCAAGCCUUUCCGUCCAGGACCUCAAACAGAUCCAAUCACAAGAAGAGAGAUUUCAGGAAAGAGAAAAUUAUUCCUAUCAUCGGGGUUUUUGAAGAACAUGAAAUGACUGGGAAAAUAAUCAUGUUAAGUGGAAAAAAAAAAGAAAUCUAUCUGUUGUAAUUUUCAAAUAAUUUUUAAAUAAAUUUGAAAAAUUAAGAGAACUAUA